CUACGGGCGGCUGCAGUGAGGAAUAUUGCACAAUGGGGGGAACCCUGAUGCAGCAACGCCGCGUGGAGGAUGACGCAUUUCGGUGUGUAAACUCCUUUUAUAUGUCAAGAAAAUGACGGUAGCAUAUGAAUAAGCACCGGCUAACUCCGUGCCAGCAGCCGCGGUAAUACGGAGGGUGCAAGCGUUACUCGGAAUCACUGGGCGUAAAGGACGCGUAGGCGGGUUGGAAAGUCAGGUGUGAAAUCCUACAGCUUAACUGUAGAACUGCACUUGAAACUUCUAAUCUAGAGUAUGGGAGGGGGAGAUGGAAUUAGUGGUGUAGGGGUAAAAUCCGUAGAUAUCACUAGGAAUACCUAAGCGAAGGCGAUCUCCUGGAACAUUACUGACGCUAAGGCGUGAAAGCGUGGGGAGCAAACAGGAUUGGAUACCCGCGUAGUC
rnacentral:rRNA from 1 species